UAAUACCAGCACCUCGAGUGGUCAGGACGUUUAUUGGGCCUAAAGCAUCCGUAGCCGGCUUUGCAAGUCUUCGGUUAAAUCCACCUGCUCAACAGAUGGGCCGCUGGAGAUACUACAAAGCUAGGGAGUGGGAGAGGCAGACGGUAUUCAGUGGGUAGGGGUAAAAUCCUCUGAUCCAUUGAGGACCACCAGUGGCGAAGGCGGUCUGCCAGAACACGUUCGACGGUGAGGGAUGAAAGCUGGGGGAGCAAACCGGAUUAGAUACCCGGGUAGUCCCAGCUGUAAACGAUGCAAACUCGGUGAUGCA
rnacentral:rRNA from 1 species